rnacentral:rRNA from 1 species
UACGUAGGGGGCAAGCGUUGUCCGGAGUUUAUUGGGCGUAAAGAGCGUGUAGGCGGCUUUACAGGUCCGUUGUGAAAACUCGAGGCUCAACCUCGAGACGCCGGUGGAAACCGUAAAGCUAGAGUCCGGAAGAGGAGAGUGGAAUUCCGUGGUGUAGCGGUGAAAUGCGCAGAUAUCAGGAGGAACACCCGUGGCGAAAGCGGCUCUCUGG